rnacentral:rRNA from 1 species
UACAGAGGGUGCGAGCGUUAAUCGGAAUUACUGGGCGUAAAGCGCGCGUAGGCGGCUUUGCAAGCCGGAUGUGAAAUCCCCGGGCUUAACCUGGGAACUGCAUUCGGGACUGCAUUGCUAGAGUAUGGGAGAGGGAAGUGGAAUUUCAGGUGUAGCGGUGAAAUGCGUAGAUAUCUGAAGGAACAUCAGUGGCGAAAGCGACUUCCUGGACCAAUACUGACGCUCAUGUGCGAAAGCGUGGGGAGCAGACAGG